GACGAACGCUGGCGGCGUGCUUAACACAUGCAAGUCGAACGGAAAGGCCCCUUCUGUGUUACUCGAUUGGCUCACAGGUGAGUAACACGUGAGUAACCUUCCCUUGACUUCGUGAUAACUUCCUGAAACUGGGUCUAAUACCUAAUAGGAAUCCUUUCUUCAUGUUUGGGGUUGGAAAGCUUCGUCGGUUUUGGAUAGAGUCGCUGCUUAUCUGAGUGUUGGUUGGGUAGUGGCUUACACAGGCUUUGACGGGUAGCCGGCGUGAGAGGGGGACACGCCACAUUGGGACGGAGAUACGGCCCAGAGUCCUACGGGAGGGAGCAGUGGGGAAUAUUGUACAAUGGGCGGAAGCCUGAGGCAGAAAAGCCGCGUGCGGGAUGAGGGCCUUCGGGUUGUAAACCGCUUUAAGCAGGGGCGCAGAGUGUGGUGACGGUAAAUGGAGAAGAAGCAACGGCCAAAUACGUGC
rnacentral:rRNA from 1 species